GCCAGCAUGGCUAGUGGUUUGAGUUCUGGACUACGACUCUAGAGGCCAGGGGUUCGAUUCCCAACUCGGCCA